ensembl:lncRNA
CCAUUUUUGGGAGUAAUUGUAGGUAUGUGCUUAAUAUUCAUGUAAAUAAUGCCAAUGUGCACAAAGUCUUAAUGGUCUUAAAAAUAGGCUUCAUUUUCUUUAAGCAAAAUCAGAAUUCCCUAUUCUUUUUUUUCUUUUAAUUAUGCUAUAAUAUAAGAUAUUCUCUGGCCGUUUUCAGGAAUUGUGUUGAUUGAAUUGUCAACCCCAGAGACUGGGUGAGCUCUCACAUCUUUUCUUCGGCCCGUGGGCUGUGCUUCAUCCAUCCGUCCUGUUCUCCCCCCCACCGGGAGUCAGGAGCACGCCGUUGGCCGACAGCGGCGUUCAGCUGGAGUCACACUGACUCUACAGGAGGGAGCCUUUCCUUUGUCACACACACAGCAGAUGGGACACACACUAUAGCAUGUGUGUGUGAGGACACAAUCAACAUGAAGUGGUCAGGUUCUUCAUGAACAUCAGUCGGAUCGCUUGAGUUUCCUGUUGCGUCCCUGUUUAUAAUGUGUUAUAGUGUCCUUAAUAUUAUGCAUUAUUGUUAUUAUAAUUAUUAUUAUAACUAUUUCUUUUUCUCUCGAAGUUGCGUUUUUUACAAACAACGUAUAAAUGUACGUAUAAUAGGCUUCGUUUGUGAAAUGCAAGCAGAACGGGAAUCAUUCGUAACGUCACAAUGAUUCACCUGCUCUGUUUCACGAAUGAGGUUUGUAUGUUUUUAGUCGUAAAUCUGUUGCACAGGAUUUUCAUUUUGCACUGUUUUAAGGCAAUUGCUUUAAAAAAUUCAAAAAGAAAAAGAAGAUAAACAUGUAUGUAAAAAGUGCCGGGUUGUGGAGGUUUACGAAUGUUAGUCGAACAGUUUUCACUAGAGUGAUUCGUAGAAUCUGUUUUUUGGGGAGAAAAUAGUGGCCUUCGAAACCCCUGCGAGUUUAAUCUUUAGCUGAUAGAAAGGCCUGUGCAGCAAAGAUGAUUUUAUUUUUAUUGCCCUGCAAUGUUCAGCUUCCUAAAUAGGCAACGUGAGAUGUUGAAAAACAUAAAAAAUCGAGCAUGAAUCGAAAUGAAAUUAAACAACAAUGGCUAUCGAGUAUAUAGGCCGUUUUGCCGUGGUCGUUUUUUGCAAGUCGUUCUAUUUAAAACUAUUUACUUUUAACUAAAUUUGUUUGCCGAGGAUGGUGGUCGAAUCUUUUAACGGUAUAUCUAGCUAUUACGUGUCAAUUUCUCUGGCUUUGAUGACUGUGUGCAUUGAUAUUGAUUUAACACAAGCCAGUCAUCUAGUUAUAAAUAAGCUACAGUAGAUGUAAUCUUGUAAACGGCAUAUGAAUAUGAAUUUUAGACGAUGAGGGGAAACAUGUGAAGUGUUUUUGAACAUUUUUUGCAUAGUCUGUGGCCUCCAGCUUUAUUUAGGGGAGGAAACACGCACAGAACCUCGUGGUUUGCCAGCCGGUUUGGGGUUUGUGUAUUUUCUGUCUUGCAUCAAGAAUCCACAUGAAAAAAACAAACGCACACAUGAGGGUUGAAUCUGGUUCAUAUUUCACCCUAAAUUUUAAAGGAAAAAAUAUUUAAAUAUUUUGCAUGAUGAAAAUUGAGGUUUUCUUCAUGCAAAAUAUGAUUUUGCAAUUUUUUUUCUUUUGAUUUAGUGGUCAGAUUUCCCCUCAUAGAGUGAUUUUUAGGCACAUACAGUGCAUACAUAUUGAAUAGCUGAUGCUCUGUGAGUGUGUGUUUGUCUUUCAAACACUGUUUCAGUUGUUGUUUUUUUUUUUUUUUUUUGUAUUUUAGAGUCUCAUUUGAUUUGAUCUCAGUAUCGUCAGGGUUUGUUUUAGGCUCCGCCUCAUUCAAGCAGCAGGCAUCAUGUGACCUUUGACUUCUUGUGUUGCGACCCACCAGACUAUUGAAUGCAGAUCAGCUUCAUUUGCAUUUAAUUGAAAUGCAAAGCAGAUGUGGCGACCUUGUCAGCUGACCAAACUAUAGAUCUGGGCUCAUUCAAAGAUGUCAGCGAUUGUUUUGUUUUUUAUGCAACUGAAAAUAAACUGAGAAGGGGUGUAACAUGAAGUGUUUGUCCUUUUGUUUUUAAUGAUUAUAGCUCAGAGGGAUGUUUGCAGUCCAUUAUUUUUCUUUCGUGAAGAGUGAAGAACCGUCA